rnacentral:rRNA from 1 species
UACGUAGGGGGCAAGCGUUGUCCGGAUUUAUUGGGCGUAAAGAGCUCGUAGGUGGUUCGGUAAGUCGGAUGUGAAAUCUCCAGGCUCAACCUGGAGGGGUCAUUCGAUACUGCCGUGACUAGAGUUCGGUAGGGGAGUGUGGAAUUCCUGGUGGAGCGGUGAAAUGCGCAGAUAUCAGGAGGAACACCGGUGGCGAAGGCGCCACUCUGGGCCGAAACUGACGCUGAGGAGCGAAAGCGUGGGUAGCAAACAGG